rnacentral:lncRNA from 1 species
UCAACCUUAAUAAUAGAUUUUAAAGAGUACAUCAAUAACUACAAUAUUUCUAUCUCUACUAGGCUGCUUCCUUAUUCAUUCAACUUAAGUUAAACAUACUUUUUUUUUUUUUUUGAAUGCUUAACUUCUUGUAAUUCAUUGUAAAAGGUCAAACUAACUGAACUAUCUUUUAAAAAAGAUAUACAUACAUUAUGUAUUGAUAAGCUACUUAAUUACUUCAAUCAAGUACUAUCAAGCCUAUCAAUAGUGUUACCCUAAUUAUAGAGUAUCAUUAUUUGCAUGAUUGAGAUAGUAAAAUGUUAGCACUUUGACAGAUAAUCUCAGCGCUCUCUCUCUUUCUCUUCCUUUCCCUCUCUCCCUCAUCAACUUCAAAUCUAACUCCAAACAACUUCACUAUUAAUGGGCCCCUUUGGUUAUUAUUAAUCUCAUGCCCAUCAUCAUCUUCAUCAUCAUCAUCAUUAUCCAUAUUUGCGUACUUAGCCACUAAAUCAAGCAACUCCUUGCACUUCCUUUUCAUGCUUACAAGCUCCGAACUUAAGUUCCCAUUCUCCUUCUUCAAACGCUUAUUCUCAUCCCUUAGGGUGUUGUACUCCGACAACGAUGACGUCGACGACGACGACCUUUGAUCUUCAUCAUGAGAUUCUUGUUGUGUUGCUGCUGCCGUUGCUGCUUGCUGCCUGUUUGCCCAUGCUUUUCUUCGACGUAUCUUGCAUAAAAGAUCUUUCUCCCCCUUUCUAAACAUUUGGUUGCAAAAUUCCCACCUGCUUGUUGCUACUUUUCGAAAUCCCUGCAUUCAUAUUACAUCCAUCUAUUUAAUAACAAAUAAAUCUCAAUAUGAAUGUAAAAAUUAAAUGCUAAGGAAGCUAUAUUUAUUUAUUUAUUUUAUAUUAUUAUCGGAUAAGACAUAAUAUGGUGUUAAUAUAACUAUAUUUUAACUUAUUUAUUUAGUAAUAAGUAUAAUGUCAUAUUUACAAGUUUUAUUUUUUAUUAAAAAAUAUUUUUUUAUUUUUUUACGGAUUCACGGAUUUUUUACGGAUUCAGAGAAGUAAAUCCAUAUCCAAUCCACUGACUGCGAAUUUUUAAAUUUUCAAUCUAAUCCAAACCACCAUUCCACGGAUCGAAUUUUUACGAAUUUGAUUUCUGCGGAUCAGACGGAUUGAGCAUAUCGGAUUGGAUUCUGAACACCCCUAUUCCUGAAUGCCAAUGUGAUGGGAGAACACAUGCAUAUACUAAUAAUAUGCACCCUUUGUCUUUGUUUUACGUAGAAACUUGGGUUUAUAAAUUAACUAGAUACCUGGACGGCAACAUAAAAGCAAAAACAAAUAAACUUAAAUCAUGUAAUUAAAAGGGCUUCUGCCCAACUUUAAUUAUCAACCUUAAUAAUAGAUUUUAAAGAGUACAUCAAUAACUACAAUAUUUCUAUCUCUACUAGGCUGCUUCCUUAUUCAUUCAACUUAAGUUAAACAUACUUUUUUUUUUUUUUUGAAUGCUUAACUUCUUGUAAUUCAUUGUAAAAGGUCAAACUAACUGAACUAUCUUUUAAAAAAGAUAUACAUACAUUAUGUAUUGAUAAGCUACUUAAUUACUUCAAUCAAGUACUAUCAAGCCUAUCAAUAGUGUUACCCUAAUUAUAGAGUAUCAUUAUUUGCAUGAUUGAGAUAGUAAAAUGUUAGCACUUUGACAGAUAAUCUCAGCGCUCUCUCUCUUUCUCUUCC